UACGAAGGGGGCUAGCGUUGCUCGGAAUCACUGGGCGUAAAGCGCACGUAGGCGGAUUGUUAAGUCAGGGGUGAAAUCCUGGAGCUCAACUCCAGAACUGCCUUUGAUACUGAGGAUCUCGAGUCCGGGAGAGGUGAGUGGAACUGCGAGUGUAGAGGUGAAAUUCGUAGAUAUUCGCAAGAACACCAGUGGCGAAGGCGGCUCACUGGCCCGGUACUGACGCUGAGGUGCGAAAGCGUGGGGAGCAAACAGG
rnacentral:rRNA from 1 species